GUGUUAAACUAAAAGGGACCCAAUCCAGGCGUUUGCCUGAAGGAAGUCAGGUCUUAUGAUCCGAAUGUUGGGGGAUUUGUGCGCUACAUUUUCUUAUAUAAUGAGAAACUUGAAAGGUAGGCCUCUAAAGUAAGAGUUCGGAAGGUCGCUG
rnacentral:rRNA from 1 species